rnacentral:rRNA from 1 species
UUUCCGUAGGUCGCAGGUCCGCCUACCAGAGCGAAGCUAGCUGCGAAGCGCAGCAAUACUGCCAAACUGCGGGGAACUCUCGAGAAGCGAUCGGUUCUUCGAGCCGAGCGCGAGACAAUCCGCACCUCUGACCUUCACAAGGCAGAGCUCAUCGACUAGAGGGCAGUGGGCGAUCGAGCGCG